UGGCUUUGUCCUAAGUUAAACUUCUCUAAUUUUGACAAAGUUAUUAGAAAAUAUAUCAACUUCUACAAUGUCAAAUAGAUGUUCUAUCAGAACAUAUAUUUCAUGAAGAAUCUAAUAAGACUAAUUUGUUAUUUUAUAUGUUGGUAUUUUUUUUCCUAUAAACUCGGUCAAAGUUAAAGAAGUUUGACUUAGGACAAAACCAA
rnacentral:pre_miRNA from 1 species